rnacentral:misc_RNA from 1 species
AAAACAACAAUGGCAGCGUCUUCUCUCUCCACCUUCUCUUCUCUCUCUCUACGCGCCCCAUCUCGCUUUUCUCCUUUUCAAUCCCAACCCCACCAUACAUUCUUCAUCCCAAAAACCAUCCAGUCACCAUUUCAUCUCCUCUUAAACCCAACAAAAUUCGACCCCAUUAAACCAAAUUCUACAACUGCUGAAACCACUUUCUUUGACAACACAGACCCAGAGGAGAUCUCCACUUAUGACCCUCCAGAGCGUCCUGAAGACUUUAUAGAACCAGCAUCUUUCGAUGACGGUCCAAUGGAGUCUGAAGAAGAAAUUGCAAAAGCGUAUGAAGAGCUUUAUGGGGCUGCUUAUAGCGGAGAGACUUUUCUUGGGAAUGACAUAUAUGCAAUGGAUUCUAAGGUGAAAAAGACUACCUCGUUUGGGAAAACCAAGAAGGAGAAGGCCAAAGAUGGGUUUGACGAGAGAGUGGUGCAAGUUAGGAGAGUUACUAAGGUUGUUAAAGGUGGAAAGCAAUUGCAUUUUAGGGCUGUUGUGGUUGUGGGUGAUAAAAAAGGGCAAGUAGGUGUUGGAGUUGGUAAAGCUAAAGAGGUUAUUGCUGCAGUGCAAAAGUCUGCUGUUAAUGCCAGGAGGAAUCUCAUUACUGUGCCUAUGACUAAGUACUUAACUUUCCCCCACAGAUCUGAGGGAGACUUUGGAGCAGCAAGGGUGAUGCUUAGACCAGCAGCCCCUGGUACUGGAGUGAUUGCUGGUGGUGCUGUGCGGAUCGUUCUUGAAAUGGCUGGUGUUGAGAAUGCUUUGGGUAAGCAGCUUGGAAGUAACAAUGCCCUCAACAAUGCAAGAGCCACUGUUGUUGCUGUUCAGCAGAUGAGGCAAUUCAGUGAAGUUGCUCAAGAACGUGGCAUUCCUAUGGAAGAACUCUGGAAAUGAAGACCUUCCUUUCUUCCUGUUGCUUCGAUUUGUAUCUUUUAAGAUUUUUGUAGAAAAAAAAAUGUUUCAACUGGGAUAGCUGCAGAUGUACCAUUUAAUUUUUCUGCAAGUGAUUAUUUGUUAAUU